rnacentral:rRNA from 1 species
GAAGGCGAUUAGUUUAAGAGAUUAAUUGAUUGACGAUAAUCACAGAAGAAGCACCGGCUAACUCCGUGCCAGCAGCCGCGGUAAUACGGAGGGUGCGAGCGUUAAUCGGAAUGACUGGGCGUAAAGGGCACGCAGGUGGUGACUUAAGUGAGGUGUGAAAUCCCCGGGCUUAACCUGGGAACAGCAUUUCAGACUGGGUGACUAGAGUACUUUAGGGAGGGGUAGAAUUCCACGUGUAGCGGUGAAAUGCGUAGAGAUGUGGAGGAAUACCGAAGGCGAAGGCAGCCCCUUGGGAAGAUACUGACGCUCGAGUGCGAAAGCGUGGGGAGCAAACAGGAUUAGAUACCCUGGUAGUCCACGCUGUAAACGAUGUCGAUUUGGGGAUUGGGUGAACACUUGGUGCCCG